GAGUGAAAGCUGCUUACCUCGGAGCUUCAAAAUAAGUCUGCUGAGCUGGAAGAGAUGACUAAACUAAAAUGUGACAAGGAAAGGCAACUUGAAGAGCUGUCAGAAACCCUGGUUAAAGAAUGAAYAACUAACAGUGCAUCUGAAUGAGCUCAUACUAGAGAAAGAACAAAUAGCACAAGAGAAAAAUGGUGUGGCUGCAGAACUCAAGAAACUGCAAGGAAGACAAGA